rnacentral:rRNA from 1 species
UACGUAGGGUGCGAGCGUUGUCCGGAAUCAUUGGGCGUAAAGAGCGUGUAGGCGGCCACUUAAGUCCUGCGUGAAAUCUUGCGGCUCAACCGCAAGCGGUCGUGGGAAACUGGGUGGCUAGAGUGCGGGAGAGGGAAGAGUGGAAUUCCUGGUGUAGCGGUGGAAUGCGCAGAUAUCAGGAAGAACACCCGUGGCGAAGGCGGCUCUCUGGAACGCAACUGACGCUGAGACGCGAAAGCGUGGGGAGCAAACAGG